rnacentral:misc_RNA from 1 species
AAAGUCGUAACAAGGUUUCCGUAGGUGAACCUGCGGAAGGAUCAUUACAAGUAAAUACGUGUUCCUAGGAAUAUGCAUUUUCAAACCCCUCUGCGUACCUUACCUGUUGCUUCCGUGCUGCGCGGACUUCGGUCCCCUCCCUCGCUGGAGUGCCGGCACGGCUAACAAAACUCAUGCAUUUCAUGUCGUCUGUCUGAACUGAUAAAUACAAAAAGUUAAAACUUUCAACAACGGAUCUCUUGGUUCUC